UCUUGCUCAACAUCUAUUUAUUAUAUAAAAAAAAGUUAGGGUUAAGUUACAUAGAAUAAGUGUGUGACUGUUAAAUUAAAUAAAAGGAAUAUAGAUUCAUACCUCUUUGUAUGGGAGAUAGAUCGAGAUAGAUAGAGAUGAAUGAAGAUAAAUUUGAUUGUGGAACCAAAAUAUUGAGCAAUGAACAGAAUGCUAGAAACAAAUUUUUGAAAAUUGAUGUAGAACAAAAUAUGAAGAACAAGAAGAGAAUUUUAGAAGUUUUGUUGGAGAAGGUAGGGGAUAAAUGAAUGAUCGAAGAAAAAGUUGUCUAAAUGAUAGAUUCUAUCGGUGAUAGAAGCAUAUCAGUGUACAUAUAUCAAUAUCUAGCAUUGAUAGAAUCUGAAAUUUUGCUAUAUUUUGUAAAUAUUUUGUCACAUUUGCCAUUUUUGACAAUUUUCCUUAAACUAAAUUGUUAAUUAUUUCUCCAAUUAAUUAAUUAUUAAAUUGAAUAUUUUAUAUUUAAUUAAUCUAAAUUUGAAUCAUAUUCUUAAUGCGUAUCAUAUACACAUCAAAUUUUAACCUAUAAUUUUAAUACAUGAAUCUAAUUCACAUUAAAUCAAUAUUUGAAUUUGAAUUCAUUCAAAUACUUUUAUUUCGUAAAUUAAUUUUGAAUCAUAUCAAAAAUUAAAUUUACAUGAUAAAAUUAAAUUAAAGUAUAAAAUUUAUAUUAUAAUGUAUUACCAUAUAUUAUAUCAAUAAAAGGCACCAUCAUCCAUGAAAAGGAACCAUCUUACUUCAUAGCCAAUAAGCAAAAAGGCAGCUCAGCUAGUUCAUAUUCUAUGGUCAUGUUUAGAAUGAAAGUCAGAUAAGACUAAGAAUGUGAAUCAUAUAUGACAAAUAAUUCUCUAAUUCAAAGAGAAGAAUUUGUAGGAACUAAUGGUGGCCAACAAAUUGCAAGUAGAAACAAUAUUGGUGUCUCUAAGUUGCAACAUGAGAGGCAUAUCAACAUGAAUAAAUCAGCAUUAGAAACAUUAGGAUCAACCUCAAGAUUAGAUAAUGCAUCAAUAUCAAGGGACUGUGUUUUAGAAAAUAAAGAGUGUAACAGGAAGAAGUUUUUAAAGUAAAAUAACAUCUCCGAUCCUGAAAUACAAACGGUUAUUUUAGAAACAAUAUAAGAACUCAAUUCUAGUUAAAAACCAUGAUACUAAAUUUUAACUUUCUCCAAAUUAUAGGAACCGAACCGAAGUUAUAACCUAACCUAAUCUUAAUGAAAAAUUUAUGAAUGGAUGGAUCAAAAUGCUAAAUGCUCCUAAAUGCAAAUCUCAAGAAACAUAAUUGAAACUUUGAUAAAAUAGCAAAAUAAAAAAAAUAUGAAAAAAAAUUGUUGCAACAAUGUCUUAAAUGCUCCUACUUUAGUGAAAAACUUGUAUCCCAAAUGUAAUUAUUCCACAAACCACAACUAUUUCGUAAUUAAUUCAAACUCCCAAAAAACAAUGAUUACAUCUAUCCUCUAAUUUUUCCUUAUGAACACAAUCAAAUCAAUUAAAACCUAUAAAAAUCCUAAUUUUCCCCCGAAAUCUGAAAUUCAUCAUCAUCAAAGCUCCACAUUCAAAACAUAAUUAAUUUGGAUAGACAUGUAAUGCCCCAAAAACUAAGGUAAUAUUGAAUUUAAUUAUCUUUAUUUUUUAUUUAAUUAUGUUGGAACUAUUGACCGUUAAUUUGAAAUAUUUGAUUUCAAAUCGAUGGUUUUAUGAAAUUAGAAUUAAUUAAAUAUUCAAACAACAAAUAUUUAAUUAAUUAGAAGAAUUGAAUUUUUGGUGUCAUUGAGAUUGAAUUUAAUUAAAUAAUUUGGGAGUGAUUUUUUUUUUGUUAGAGAUUUGACAAUUAUGUGUAUAUGUUGUUAUAUAUAUAAUUAUUAUGGAAAAGAGUAAAGAUAGUUUUAUUUAGGUUAAUUUUCAUAAACAUAACAAACGUAUCAAAUAUUUACGGUCCGUGUAACAAAAUGAAAAAAUCCAUGAAACUUACCAUUUUUUAAAAAUAUGGGUCUUUAACUCAUAUAGUCUAAAUUGCUAUAUGAUAUUACAUGAAGGAUCCAAAUUACUAAUAAAUUUCAUAAAAGCUCUAAAUGAACUAGUAUAUUACAUAAAUGUAGGCUCAAAUUACUUUAAUACUCAUUCAUAUUAUUUAAUUGAUUUAUAACAAAUAUCUAAAUGAAAAAAAUCAUGGAAUAUAGUUUUGAAAAGAAGUGGGGCCCAAAUUAAUUUAAUACGAAUUUCUAUUAUUUAAUUGAUUUAUAACAAAUAUCUAAAUGGAAAAAAUAAUGAGAUACGAUUUUGGAAAGAAGUGGAAAACUUUUCAUGCUUUCCUUCCACGAAAACGGUUGUCUACUCCUUCCAACGUGGAUUACGAUUUUUACUUCGAAAUGUUAGAGAGUUCGGAGGUAAAGAAGAAGACAGUCGACGACCGACAAAUACAAAACUUCUCGAACAUAAUCUAGUUAAAAACUUCGAGGUUAAUAUUGUAUAUAUUCAACACAUAUGAAACAUUAGGUAUAUUAGGUAUAUUUUAGAUAUUCAAUUAAAUAGUUAAUCAAAUGAAAAUGUAGUUUUGAAUGUGAUACAUUUUAGGGUUUAUUGAGAUUUCGACGGUAAAGAAGAAAACUUUCGAUGGCCGAAAAAUACAAAACUUAUCCGAUAGAAUCUAGCUAGGAAUUUUGUGAUUAAUAUUAUAUAUAUUUAAAACAAAUGAAACAUUCGGUAUAUUAGGUAUAUUUUAGAUUAUAUUCAAAACAUAUGAUGAUAGAACUAAGUCAUGCACAGCGGAAAAAGAAUCGAAUUUCUACCCUAAUUGCCACAAUUAACAUGUAACCAUAAACUAAUCAAAUUAGGGUUUUAAGAAAUAUUACCUUUGAAGCUUUCAAAAGGUUUGAUAUCUUCUUACCAAUUCUAACCGAGACCACCACUAGUACUCAACUGCUAUCCUCUAGACAAAGAACCGGGUUGUGAGACCUAAUUUUGGUGUAGAAAGUAAUGGAGAUAAAAUGGGAUUGGAAGGUUUUUUUUUCUUUGUUGAGAUGAUGAAAAUGAUAAAAGAGGCAAAAGUUUUUUCAACAUUUGAAAACACCUCCAUUUAUAACCUAAUUACAUGCAAAAAUGCAUGCAAUUCAUUUGCCAAAUCUCAUCACCUAAUGUUCCACUAACAAUUAGUGGAACUUAGUGGGCUAGGUGUCUAUAUCUCAUAUAGCCACAUAUCCCACUAAGAGUUAGUGG
rnacentral:lncRNA from 1 species